GAACACGCCCGUGUGGCUUUGGGACAUGCCUGUGUGGGUAGGCUGUGUGGUCAUACACGCUCAUGUCCCUAACCUGUGUAACUCUCUGUUUGUCACCUAAGAACAAAUUGAAGUCACACUGCCAAUGCAUACACUCGUGUGCUUAGGCCGUGUGGUCGAUUUGAUUUUUUCAUAAUUUUCAUAAAAUAGGUGCAGACUUCACACGCCUAAGGCAUACGCCCGUGCUUGGGGCCGUGUCAUCCACACGACUGAGACACACGCCCAUAUCUCUUCCCAUGUGCUUGACACUGAGCAUUCUGUUUUGCAACAAUGAAGGUACAUGGGACACACAGCUGGAACACACGCC
rnacentral:lncRNA from 1 species